rnacentral:rRNA from 1 species
GGAUUAGAUACCCUGGUAGUCCACGCCGUAAACGAUGAUCACUCGAUAUGCGCCCCUCGGGGUGUGUGUCCUAGCGAAAGCGUUAAGUGAUCCACCUGGGGAGUACGUUCGCAAGAAUAAAACUUAAAGGAAUUGACGGGAAUCCGCACAAGUGGUGGAGCAUGUGGUUUAAUUCGACACUACGCGAGGAACCUUACCUAGGCUAUUGUAACUUUGACCCAUCAAGAAACUGAUGGUUUGCCGCAAGGACAGGUUGCAAAGAUGCUGCAUGGCUGUCGUCAGCUCGUGCCG